CGCGUAGGCGGCAAGGCAAGUCAGAUGUGAAAUCCCCGGGCCCAACCUGGGAAUUGCAUCUGAAACUGCAGUGCUUGAGUCCUGGAGGGGAUAGUGGAAUUCCCAGUGUAGCGGUGAAAUGCGUAGAUAUUGGGAGGAACACCUGCGGCGAAGGCGGCUAUCUGGACAGUGACUGACGCUGAUGCGCGAAAGCCAGGGGAGCGAACG
rnacentral:rRNA from 1 species